GCCCCCAUAGCUCAGCGGCUAGAGCAGAUCCCUCUUAAGGAUAAGGUCCAAGGUUCGAAUCCUUGUGGGGGUACCA
rnacentral:tRNA from 1 species